rnacentral:sRNA from 1 species
AUCAGGCGGCUAUCUUCUCGGCGGCCCGGGCCUCGAUGAU